UACGAAGGGGGCUAGCGUUGCUCGGAAUCACUGGGCGUAAAGCGCGCGUAGGCGGCUAAUCAAGUCAGGGGUGAAAUCCUGAGGCUCAACCUCAGAAUUGCCUCUGAAACUGUUUAGCUAGAGUGUCGGAGGGGAUAGCGGAAUUGCUAAUGUAGAGGUGAAAUUCGUAGAUAUUAGCAGGAACACCAGUGGCGAAGGCGGCUCACUGGCCCGGUACUGACGCUGAGGUGCGAAAGCGUGGGGAGCAAACAGG
rnacentral:rRNA from 1 species